rnacentral:lncRNA from 1 species
AAAAAAAGAAGUUUGAAUCAUUGAAUAAAUAAAAUAAGAGUAAUAAACACUGCUCUCAUAUUGCAUGCAUUUGUCCUUUUAUGGAAGAUCGUCCAAAUAGGAUGUACCCACAUGCUUAGAUUUUCAUGGAAAGUCUCCAAAAAAAUCCUCACAACUUUUCAAUUUUUUGACUAACAUGAAGCAUCAAUGCAUCAUCACCUUCUCUCUCUGAUCAUCAUCGUAUCAAUGGGGUCAUUUUCUCUCUGAUAGUAUAAGAAGUGGCAGAAAAGAUCAAUUGUUUGGCAAUUGGACUAAAAGUACAUAAAAUAUUAUGCAAAUUGAACGAUCAUGAUUAUGGGUCCUAUGAAUUAUGAAUUUGUAUGACAAUAGUAGGUUUUGCAAAAAUUGGUUUUGUGGACCCCUUAUCUCUGCAAUUUAUAUUAUAAUGUAUGAUGAGAAUAUUUUUUAAGACAAAAAAAAAAAGAAAAAUCAAUGGAAGUAGAUGACAUAAACCAUGACAUGUAUUUGGUUGUCUCCAUCAUAUUGUUAUUGGGUAGUGAUUAAGAGUUUGUGGGUCCAUUUUGAGGUCACUUUGUAAAUAUGUUUAUAAAGAUUAGUUGAGAUUACAAUGCAAUAAUGAAGAUUAGUAACAGCAAUUGCACAUAUUUUAUCAAAAGAAAAGUAUGCAAUUCAAUAUUAGGUUGAAUUCCAAUUCAUAAUUAACUUAACUGGAGUAUGAUUUAGUUUCAAGUGGGUAAGCAUGAUCUUAUCUAAAAUCAAUAAGAUGAUUUCAACUCCAUCACAUAUUAUGAAAGUUUAAUUGAUUUUAAUCAUAUAAAUUAAAGUCCAUCAAAAUCGAUGAUCAAUUUAUGUUGAAUUGACCAACUUAUAAGUUAUAACAAAAGUCUCUUACAGUAUUUAUAACUGACCCUACUAUUAUUUAAUAUAUUUGAAAAGAAGUACUAAAAGACUAAUUCAAUAAAAUAACUUGAAGCAUGACACACUACCAUUUUUUUUAAUGGUACCAAGUUGAACAUUUUAGCAAAACUUUAAUAAAACAUAAUUAAUUAAUAAGGUUAGUUGUUGAAUUGUUGCCACACACAACUAAAAAUUAUAAUACCAAAUAUUUGAAAAAUAUGGCAAAAGAUUUAUGAAAUUUUGUUGCUCCAAACAAACAAAAAUGAUAUAAUAUAUAUAACUCACAUUGUUUAGCUUGCAAGAUAAAGCAAAAUGCAAUAAUUAAUUAAUGAGAUCCGUUACCGACCCUCUAUUAGCUGAAAAUUGAAGGAACUGGGCAGACUAGUAAUUAAGUAGAAGUGGAGGGGCAACAAGAGAAACGAGGAAGUAAAAGCUGCCUGGGAUCGGAACUUUGACGUAGUAAGUAGGGGCUUGAUGAAUGGAUACGAUAGCAGGGUGAGAGGAGGACACGUGUCAUUGGAUUCCGUGAAAAGUGAAGAUGAAAUCUAAGGUAAAUAAUAAUAAAUUAAAAAGAAGAGAUGUGAUUGGCUGACAAGGCGUGAUAUCCCAAGAUUCACUCUCAUCCCUACGUAUGAUUUCGUAAGUGGGUUUCUGAUUUCCUGACACAAAGCUUCGGCCUUAGUCUUCCGAUGAGAAAAUGAGCGAAACCCCUUCCCCCAACCUUUGUCUUUUAAAUUAACAAAAUGGAUCGAAUCCUAAAACCUUCCAAGUACAGAUUUUAAUAAAAUAUGAAAAUAUUAAUAACUAAUAACAAAGCAUAAAUUUUAACAUA